CCUACGGGAGGCAGCAGUGAGGAAUAUUGGUCAAUGGGCGCAAGCCUGAACCAGCCAAGUAGCGUGCAGGAUGACUGCCCUACGGGUUGUAAACUUCUUUUAUACGGGCAUAACGUGCCUUACGUGUGCCGUUUUGGAUGUACCUUAUGAAUAAUGACCGGCUAACUCCGUGCCCGCCGCCGCCGUAAUACGGAGGGUCCGAGCGUUAUCCGGAUUUAUUGGGUUUAAAGGGAGCGUAGGUGGGAUGUUAAGUGAGUUGUGAAAUGUUGCGGCUCAACCGGAAAAUUGCAGUUGAAACUGGCAGGCUUGAGUACAGUGGAGGUAGGCGGAAUUCGUGGUGUAGCGGUGAAAUGCUUAGAUAUGACGAAGAACCCCGAUUGCGAAGGCAGCUUACUAAACUGCAACUGACAUUGAUGCUCGAAAGUGUGGGUAUCAAACAGGAUUAGAUACCCUGGUAGUC
rnacentral:rRNA from 1 species